GACGAACGCUGGCGGCGUGCUUAACACAUGCAAGUCGAACGAUGAAGCUAGAGCUUGCUCUGGUGGAUUAGUGGCGAACGGGUGAGUAACACGUGGGUAACCUGCCCCGAACUCUGGGAUAACUGCUGGAAACGGUAGCUAGUACCGGAUAUGACCAAUGAAGGCAUCUUCUGUUGGUGGAAAGAAUUUCGGUUCGGGAUGGACUCGCGGCCUAUCAGCUUGUUGGUGAGGUAACGGCUCACCAAGGCGACGACGGGUAGCCGGCCUGAGAGGGUGAUCGGCCACACUGGGACUGGGACACGGCCCAGACUCCUACGGGAGGCAGCAGUGGGGAAUAUUGCACAAUGGGCGCAAGCCUGAUGCAGCAACGCCGCGUGAGGGACGACGGCCUUCGGGUUGUAAACCUCUUUUAGUAGGGAAGAAGCGAAAGUGACGGUACCUGCAGAAAAAGCACCGGCUAACUACGUGCCAGCCGCCGCCGUAA
rnacentral:rRNA from 1 species